rnacentral:rRNA from 1 species
GUGGUGCAUGGUGGUCGUCAGCUCGUGUCGUGAGAUGUUGGGUUAAGUCCCGCAACGAGCGCAACCCUCGUUCUAUGUUGCCAGCACGUGAUGGUGGGGACUCAUAGGAGACUGCCGGGGUCAACUCGGAGGAAGGUGGGGAUGACGUCAAAUCAUCAUGCCCCUUAUGUCUUGGGCUUCACGCAUGCUACAAUGGCCGGUACAAAGGGCUGCGAUACCGCGAGGUGGAGCGAAUCCCAAAAAACCGGUCUCAGUUCGGAUUGGGGUCUGCAACUGGACCCCAGGAAGUGGGAGUCGUUAGUAAUCGCAGAUCAGCAACGUUGCGGUGAAUACGUUCCCGGGCCUUGUACACACCGCCCGUCAAGUCACGAAAGUCGGUAACACCGAGAAGCGCGGUGGCCCAACCCUUGUGGGGGGAGCCGUCGAAGGUGGGACUGGCGAUUGGGACUU